rnacentral:lncRNA from 1 species
GUGUUUCUCUUGUAAAAAGCCAAACACUUAAGAGUUUGAGUGUUUCCUCUUGUAAGCAAAAUACUAGGAAGUUUGAGUGGAGCUUGGACAAAACCACUUGGUGUAAAAGUGAGCUGAGCACUUAGAAAUCAGCCCCCACCUUGUAGUUGCGGAUUACAAAUAGUGGAAGAAGAUCUUGCGGAGGUCUUGGGAGGACAUAGAUCACGGAUUAUGAUCGAACCUCGGUAAAUCUUGGUGUGCUUUCUUCUUCAUUAUCAUUAUUGAUUCACCAUUGUAUUUGGUUUAUCUUAAGAUUGUAUUAAUUGUCAAUUAACUUUAAUUUACUAAUUAUAUUUGAAAAACCCAAUUCACCCCCCCUCUUGGGUUGCCUAUUAGACCAACAAU